rnacentral:rRNA from 1 species
GACGAACGCUGGCGGCGUGCUUAACACAUGCAAGUCGAACGAUGAAGAAAAGAAUUGAAGCUUCGGCAGAAAUUCAUUUCGGAUUAGUGGCAGACGGGUGAGUAACGCGUGAGCAACCUACCUCUUACAAAGGGAUAGCCUCGGGCAACCGGGAUUAAUACCAUAUAACAUUGCGUCGAAGCAUUUCGAUGCAAUCAAAGCUACGGCGGUAAGAGAUGGGCUCGCGUCCCAUUAACCAUAUGGUGAGGUAACGGCUCACCAUAGUAACGAUGUGUAACCGGCCGGGGAGCGUGAACUGUCACACUGGAACUGAGACACGGUCCAGACUCCGACGGGAGGCAGCAGUGGGGAAUAUUGUACAAUGAAGCGGACUCUGAUGCAGCAACGCCGCGUGAGUGAUGAAGGAAUUCGUUUCGUAAAACUCUGUUCUAUGGGAAGAAAAGGACGGUACCAUAGGAGAAAGCUCCGGCUAAAUACGUG